CAGCAGUAUCACACACUGGAUAGUUAAUUAUGUUUCUGUAAUUAACUAGCAUCUGUAAACAUCCAAAUUCUAACCAAAUUCUUUUUUAUUUCUUGUAUGAACUCUCUAGAAAAAGCUUUUGUAUAUGAGUAGCAGUCAACCGAUGAAUGUUCCAUUUACUAUUACAGUGGGAAGCAAAGGAUAUCACAAAAUUUCCAUUGUACGCUUUGAAGACAUGCCGUGAUUAUGAGAUACGAAUCCAAGCAAAAAUCCCAGGAGGAGUUUAUGGGGAGUUCAGUGAAGUGCUUUAUGUGUCUUUUGGCUCAAUGGGACUGGUACCAUGUGAGAAAGAAUUACCAAUUCCUUGGCCUUUGGUGAUGUCCUUUGGAACCCUAGGUCUGAUGGUGAUGCUGUCGCUGGUUCUCUUUUCCAAACAGCAAAA